UACGAAGGGGGCUAGCGUUGCUCGGAAUGACUGGGCGUAAAGGGCGCGUAGGCGGAUGGCACAGUCAGAUGUGAAAUUCCCGGGCUUAACCUGGGGGCUGCAUUUGAUACGUGUUGUCUAGAGUGAGGAAGAGGGUUGUGGAAUUCCCAGUGUAGAGGUGAAAUUCGUAGAUAUUGGGAAGAACACCGGUGGCGAAGGCGGCUCACUGGCCCGUAACUGACGCUCAUGCACGAAAGCGUGGGGAGCAAAACGG
rnacentral:rRNA from 1 species